AACCAGAAGGCACAAUGAAAGUGAAGGCACGGUCGCCGUGCUGAGGUGAGAGCUGCCCCGGCAGCACAUCAUCGACCGAUCCCAUCCGCACCCUCGUGGUGCAGCGGGAUUCGAGUAAGAGUGUACCUGUUGCGACCCGAAAGAUGGUGAACUAUGCCUGAAUAGGGUGAAGCCAGAGGAAACUCUGGUGGAGGCCCGUAGCGAUUCUGACGUGCAAAUCGAUCGUCAAAUUUGGGUAUAGGGGCGAAAGACUAAUCGAACCAUCUAGUAGCUGGUUCCCUCCGAAGUUUCCCUCAGGAUAGCUGUAGCCCGAAGCAGUUUUAUCAGGUAAAGCGAAUGAUUAGAGGUAUCGGGGAAGAAACUUCCUCGACCUAUUCUCAAACUUUAAAUAGGUAAGAAGUCCGACUUGCUUAAUUUGAAGCCGGACACAGAAUGCUGGGUUACUAGUGGGCCAUUUUUGGUAAGCAGAACUGGCGAUGCGGGAUGAACCGAACGCCGAGUUAAGGUGCCAAAGUCGACGCUCAUCAGAUCCCACAAA
rnacentral:rRNA from 1 species